UACGUAGGGGUCUAGCGUUGUCCGGAGUUAUUGGGCGUAAAGAGCUCGUAGGCGGCUUGUCACGUCGAUUGUGAAAGCCCGAGGCUUAACCUCGGGUCUGCAGUCGAUACGGGCUAGCUAGAGUGUGGUAGGGGAGAUCGGAAUUCCUGGUGUAGCGGUGAAAUGCGCAGAUAUCAGGAGGAACACCGGUGGCGAAGGCGGAUCUCUGGGCCAUUACUGACACUGAGGAGCGAAAGCGUGGGGAGCGAACAGG
rnacentral:rRNA from 1 species